CAUGCCGCGUGCAGGAUGAAGGCCCUCGGGUUGUAAACUGCUUUUGUACGGAACGAAAAGCCUCUUUCUAAUAAAGAGGGGUGAUGACGGUACCGUAAGAAUAAGCACCGGCUAACUACGUGCCAGCAGCCGCGGUAAUACGUAGGGUGCGAGCGUUAAUCGGAAUUACUGGGCGUAAAGCGUGCGCAGGCGGUCUUGCAAGACAGUGGUGAAAUCCCCGGGCUCAACCUGGGAACUGCCAUUGUGACUGCAAGGCUGGAGUACGGCAGAGGGGGAUGGAAUUCCGCGUGUAGCAGUGAAAUGCGUAGAUAUGCGGAGGAACACCGAUGGCGAAGGCAGUCCCCUGGGCCUGUACUGACGCUCAUGCACGAAAGCGUGGGGAGCAAACAGGAUUAGAUACCCUGGUAGUCCACGCCCUAAACGAUGUCAACUGGUUGUUGGGGAUUUAUUUCCUCAGUAACGAAGCUAACGCGUGAAGUUGACCGCCUGGGGAGUACGGCCGCAAGGUUAAAACUCAAAUGAAUUGACGG
rnacentral:rRNA from 1 species